UAUCAAAACAAAAACAUUUUUUUUUCAUUUAAAAAGGUUCUUAUGCUAUCCAAAAAUACCUUGGAAACCACUGUGUUAUAUAUAAGGGUAGAUUUUCCUUGCAGAUACCCUCUGCAAGUGGCAGAUAUUGGGCCUCUUACAGCCCAAUAAUGAAACCAUGUAACCACCAGGUUAAAUUCCAGUUUUUCACAAAGGUCUGCACACCCUGGCAACUAAAAAGCAUUGAACUUUUUGUCUGCUAUGCAGGAUUUGCUCUAAAGUGAGUUCACCCCACACAGUGAGACCUUGCUUCCUAAGGACAUACUGAGGGAUAUCUUUACCUUAUGUGCUCAAAAACUGUGGAUGUCUGAAGGGGUACACACCUGGCCAGACCCCAUAGAAUUGCCCUUCGCCCCACCCACAAGGCCAGUCCAUCAUGCUCCUCCAGGCUAUGUGAGUUGGGCAAACAGCAGCAGUUGCCUUGCGGCCUGGCUUCUUGGGAAUAGUUUUCCCUUUGUCCCUGAGACAUGGGGCAGUGUGUCCGGAACCCCUCCCUCCUGCACAGCCCACAGUAGGCACAUUCUCCCACUGGCAGCAGAUGUGCUUUCUAACAGGUAG